UUUUGCAGCCACAUCAGUUUCUGAUUAGACUUACAAUUAAAGUGGGGAAGUGACUUUGGAAGAGACAUGCAUGCUGUCAGCAGAUGGGAGAGGGGAUCGAGAAAGAUGGAGGGAGGCUGCUGUAACACCUGUUCUGAUUGGGAUUCUGAAUGAAUAUGAAAGUGGCUCUCCCUGUGAGAGGAGUAUGCUUCUUGAUCACUGAAGGCUGACUAGGCGAUGCAGAAGGUGCUGUCAGCCGCGAAGGCACUGAUGGAGAACCAGCAUCAAGCAGUACAGUGGCCCCAGAUUUUGCUGAAGAAAGAAAGCACAAUAGGACAAAAAGAAGGGUCAUUUGUCUCUCAUGAUAUUUAUCAAAAAAUAGAGCUAGCUAUGGAGAGAUGGGAGGUGCCAACAGCAUCCUAUUCCUGGAAAUCCAAAGUACCACAGCAUCUGAAAGGUAUAGGAAGAUUGAAAGCACAAAUGAGAACCCAAGAAACACGGGGCAAGCAAGGACUCACAGGUGUUGAUUUCCAAGAAAGAUCUUGUUCUUCAAACUCUGUUACAGCAUCUUCUCUGGAGAAGUCAACAGUGAGAUGGGCUAAAUGA
rnacentral:lncRNA from 10 species